AUUGAACGCUGGCGGAAUGCUUUACACAUGCAAGUCGAACGGCAGCACGGACUUCGGUCUGGUGGCGAGUGGCGAACGGGUGAGUAAUGUAUCGGAACGUGCCCAGUCGUGGGGGAUAACGUAGUGAAAAUUACGCUAAUACCGCAUACGAUCUAUGGAUGAAAGCGGGGGAUCGCAAGACCUCGCGCGAUUGGAACGGCCGAUAUCAGAUUAGGUAGUUGGUGGGGUAAAGGCCCACCAAGCCAACGAUCUGUAGCUGGUCUGAGAGGACGACCAGCCACACUGGAACUGAGACACGGUCCAGACUCCUACGGGAGGCAGCAGUGGGGAAUUUUGGACAAUGGGCGAAAGCCUGAUCCAGCCAUUCCGCGUGCAGGAUGAAGGCCCUCGGGUCGUAAACUGCUUUUGUACAGAACGAAAAGGUUUCUACUAAUACUAGGAGCUCAUGACGGUACUGUAAGAAUAAGCACCGGCUAACUACGUGCCAGCCGCCGCCGUAA
rnacentral:rRNA from 1 species